rnacentral:rRNA from 1 species
GAUGAACGCUGGCGGCGUGCCUAAUACAUGCAAGUCGAGCGAACAGAUAAGGAGCUUGCUCCUUUGACGUUAGCGGCGGACGGGUGAGUAACACGUGGAUAACCUACCUAUAAGACUGGGAUAACUUCGGGAAACCGGAGCUAAUACCGGAUAACAUAUUGAACCGCAUGGUUCAAUAGUGAAAGGCGGCUUUGCUGUCACUUAUAGAUGGAUCCGCGCCGUAUUAGCUAGUUGGUAAGGUAACGGCUUACCAAGGCAACGAUACGUAGCCGACCUGAGAGGGUGAUCGGCCACACGGGAACUGAGACACGGUCCAGACUCCUACGGGAGGCAGCAGUAGGGAAUCUGCCGCAAUGGGCGAAAGCCUGACGGAGCAACGCCGCGUGAGUGAUGAAGGUCUUCGGAGCGGAAAACUCUGUUAUCAGGGAAGAACAAAUGUGUAAGUAACUGUGCACAUCGUGACGGUACCUGAUCAGAAAGCCACGGCUAACUACGUG